rnacentral:rRNA from 1 species
AUGGCAGAACUCAAGGACUACUUGGCGCAAGGGACUCUGCCGGAGAAGGAGGAGGACACGGAGCGCGUGGCACGGCAGGCCACGACCUACAACAUCAAGGAUGGGGACCUCUACCGGAGGCGGCCGAACGACGUGUCCCUGUGUUGCAUUCCCAGAGACCAAGGGAAGGAGCUGCUGGCAGACAUACACGGUGGAGCCUGUGGGCACCACUCAUCCCCGCAGACCCUCGUUGGCAAGGCAUUUCACAGCGGAUUCUACUGGCCCACAGCACUCAACGACGCUGUUGAGCUGGUGAAGGUUGGUGAGGCCUGCCAGUUCCAUGCCAAGCAGAUCCACCAGUCGGCGGGGGGACUGCAGACCAUACCCCUCUCAUGGCCGUUCGCAGUUUGGGGCCUGGACAUUCUGGGUCCGUUCCCUCGGGCGCUAGGGGGCUACCGCUACCUAUACGUCGCCGUGGACAAGUUCACCAAGUGGGCUGAUGUGGAAGUCGUCUGCACCAUACCCGCGGGCUUAGCAUUCAAGUUCAUCAAGGGCCUCGUGAGCCAAUUUGGUGUGCCUAACCGCAUUAUCACCGACAAUGGUUCGCAGUUCACCAGCAAUCUCUUCAAAACGUACUGUGCUAACAUUGGAACGCAGAUAUGCUACGCCUCGGUGGCGCACCCCCGGAGCAACGGCCAGGCCGAAUGA